CUCAUUUUGAAACUUAAAAGAACUCGUUCCUCGGAGCUCAGUAAGGACGAUAUCAAGGACAUAAGAAGAGGAUUAUUAUUAUUAUUCUGCAAUCAAGGUACUGCUGGGGACGAUGGUACUGCGUAGUGGCAAGGAUUACCACCUUAUUAAAUCAUCUAGUAAUAGUGCUACUUACUUGUAAGGUUGACUUAACUAGAAUGUAAGACCAUAUGCUUUAAUAUAAGUUAUCGUGUUAUGUCAAGUAAA